rnacentral:piRNA from 1 species
UAACUUUGUUGGAAAGAUACAGAUGGCUC